UGCCUGGGAUUGAGUCCUGGCCUUGCUAUUUAGGAGCUGUGUGAUCCAGGAUAAGUUGCUUAACCUCUCUGUGCCUCAGUUUCCUCAGUAAAAACGGUGGUUGAUAGUACGUAGCUCCUGGGUUGUGAGGGUGACAUUGUGAGGGAGUGUAUUUGGUUUUAGAACAGAGGGUGGCUCACACCAAUGACCUAACAUGGUAGCUGUUUUGUGCCAGUGUUUGUGUACUAUUCUCACGAUGGUACCCACACAAGUCCCAGCUGUCACCCACACAAGCCCCGGCUCUCUGCCCUGAGCAGGCAUCCUGCUCACCUCACAGCCCCAGAGGCUGCUUUGUUCCCUGUUGGGGGACAGCCAGGACCCUGGGAGGCUGGGGGUAAUAACUGGGUAAGGGGUUUAUACCCUCUGUUGUUUUGCUUGGGGCAGAAGGAAUUGAUGACAUCCAGUCAUGACCUGAUUUUAUGGUUCUGAGAUGGUGGGAGACAAGCUCCAUGACCUAUAAACCCAGAGGGCACUUGACAAGGGGGUGGGCAUCAUAGGAGGCCAGCGGGCUCCUUCCUCCAGACAUAUCUGUGCUGAGCUCAGAGAAAGGGGCUCUGGAACGGGGUGUGUCCUGGCCCAGAGUCACAGUCCCGUUCUCUGGACCCCACCUGCCGCCUGGGGAUUAGGUGCCGGCUCAGGGUUUUGGGUCCCACACAGGGGACUUUCCAAGGGUCUCCUGUAACAAGCGCCAGGCCAUCCACCGGUAAGGGGUGAUGUCGUGAAGCCCCGCAGAGGGCGACCACAGCCUUCAGCUCUGUACUUAACCUCCUGCCAUCAGCCUGGUAGACACAGGACAGGGUCCCUUCCCCAGGGCGAGUUUACAUUGACUCUGCAGGGCCAGCCUCACAAGCUGGCCGCCGUGGUACCUCCUGUUGGGAGGGGGGAGGGGUGAGGAGGAGGCUUUGUGGCUGAGGAGGGACCGGCGCUAAAGGAGGAAGAGGAAGGUGGAGAGGGAGGUGGCCCAUUGGAGGAUGGGGAGUGGAUGUGAUUGUCCAGACCGGGUGACAAGACCAGAUUAGGGCGAUGGCAGAAGCGGCGCCUUGGGCUAUGACGGGGAGGGUCCAACUGCACUCAGGACAGCCUUGAAGUCCCGGCUGAACCACCCGGCCUGACUCUAGAGGAAAUGCGUGGACUUAGGUAGGAAGGCACACAGACUCGUCCUCCAGCUACAGCCCAGCUGGGACACUUUCCCGGGUGGAGAGAGAGGGCGGGGGCAGCUCAGACAAGUGAAGAGACAGAACCAAGCCUGUCCUGCCGGCCCGGUCGCUAAACCAAAUACUCGCGAUGGGGAUGAUUGGUUAGGUUCUCUAGUUCAUCUAGUCUCCUAAUCCUCGGGGUUCGGGCACGGAUAAUCCAGGGCUACGUACACAUGAGUCUUCACAAGGCUGCACAAGAUCACAGUCUUGUCAGGAGGAGAAACUGAGGCUCUGGUUUAGGAGCUGCCCUCGAAUCACCAUGGAGCAGGACCGAGCGUGGGCUGCCCGCCCCUCCGCCCAGCCACCUGGCUUCUAAAUCUGGGUCUUUUCCCGCGUCUGAUCCAGAGAGGCCAGGGACGGAUGUAACAAGACAGGGUCUUUGGACAGACAGCCGUUUCAAUAGCUCCUCCUUAGAGCUGGGGUGGGAAUGCCUCUCCCCCCACAUGCCUUCAGCCUAUUGGUGAGCGGGGAGCUGGAGCAAGUGUGAGGAUGUAGCAGGUUUAGAAGGAAAUAGCUUAAUCCUUGCGUGGGAUGGAGGAGGCAGGAAGGAGGGAGAUGUGAACCUGAGACCCGGGGCGUGUGACUGCGCCGUGGAAGCCUAAGGGUGUGAUGACCCUGCUGCCUGCCUCUCUCAGGGGGAUCGCCUUUGCUAACUGUGGGGGGCAGGGCGUAGUGCUCUAAUGGGGGACAGGGCCUCCCGGUGGGGGCUGACCCCUCUGACUUUGUCCCCCCACUCGGAAGCCACCACCCUUGUCGUUUGCCCUCUGAGAGUCCUCCUCCCUCGGGCCGCCCCCUGCCCUCUGUCCCUGGGGCCGUGACAUUGACAGGGUGCCCAGCGGGGCGAAGACGGCAGCUGCAGGUCCUGGUCCCCAGUACGUGUGUGAGUGUGAAUGCGAGUGGGUUGGGAUGGGGGAACGGCGGGGCUGGGAUCAUCCGCAGAUCAGAGCUCGGGAGUAGAGAGCUUCUAGCGGGUGGGGCCGCCCUACACGCUGGAGCCCGAGGACCUGCCCCUGGGACCACCACCAGCCUCAACACCCCUGGAGGCCAGAGCACGUCGGACAGGCACUGACCAGAGGAGCCUGGGAGGAGCUGCGGGGGUGAGUCGAACUUGGGACGGACUGGGUGUGGCUGGGCUGGGCGAGAUGGGGAGAAGCCAGGGAUGGAAAAGAGCUGCAGGUGGAGCAAGAAGAGGAGGGAAACGGGAGAGCAUCCUGCCUCAGCCCUUGUUGCUGCACAGUAGCCACGCCCCUUUCCCGGGCCCUGCCACCAGGGGGCGCUGCGGGGGGGGGAGCUGCCAAGCGGAGCCGCAAAGGGGUGAGAUGGAGGCAGAGUUACGGCCUUGUGGGCCCCAAAGGGGACGGUGGAUGGUCGCCCCGUGUCCAGCGGCAGGACAGUGGGGCCCCCAGCCCAGGGUCCGGGUUUCUAGACCCUCCGCUCCUGCUGUGGGGGAGGGAGGAGCAGGCAGAGGGAGCUGAUCUGCCCAAGACCGCAGUGUGGCCUUUACCCCUGGGUGCCCACCAUGGCCCAGGCCCUGGAGAAGCUCUGGAGUAAAUACCUGUGGGCCUUAGAAAAGGGAGGUAGGAGGUGGUGUCACCUGAUAGUGGCUUUCCUUUGUCUAUUCCACCAGACAGAUGCCCGUCGUUUGGAGCAAGAGGAGAUGGUGAUCAGCAGAGCCCCGGGAGCUGCCAGGGAGGGCCGGGUGGCAGGUGGGCCUGGUGGCCAGCUCCACUGCCCCCUUUCUUCUUGCUUUGCCAGACCCGAGGACCCAUUCCUGGUUCCUGGUACACUCGCUGCUGCCUGUCACCCUCCUCUGGGCCUUCGACCUCCUCCUGGUGGUGGAGGGCCCCCGUCUCAUGUCCCAUGAGGAGCCUUUGAGGCUGGCAGGACCCCUGACUGCCUACAACCUGGGCCUGAUGGUUCUCUCGGGGCACAUGUUCUAUGAGGUAAGGGCCCUGCAGAGUCCUAGGCUCUCUUUUUUUUUGGGGGGGGGGUGACAGGGGAUAAAUAAAACCAUGAUCUUGCUAUGCAGAAAAGCUUUGAUGAGGACCCAUGGGGACCAGAGGCCAGGCCAUCUUGGGCUGCACUGUCUUCCUGGUGGAGACAGAAACCCCCGUCCCCUCACUCCCAUUCUCCUUUUCCUUUAAUGAAAAAAUAAGGGUCAGUGGCAAGCGAGAACGGAGUCCAUUCUCCACCUCACACCUAAAAGAACCCUCCACCCCCUCCUGGUUCUGCCUGGCCCAGUUUUCUGAGCCCUAAACCCAGUGAUCUUUCCAGAAGCCUUGCUUGCAGCCAACAGUCCAUCAGCUGGUGUGCACUGGGCAUGCGCCUUGUGCCAGGCGGGCUGAAUCCACAGGAUGACCGCUGGGUAAGGCACCCCGCCCUCCAGGUGCCCAUGAUCUAGGGGGAGAUAGAUGGCGGAAACAGGAGGUUAGGAGAGGUGAGAGGAGGGGACAGGGCAGGCAGGAGAGGCAGGGCCCCAGCUGGGGUGUCAGGAAAGCCCCCCAGAGAAAGUGGUUCCGGUGGCUGGUGUGUAAAGUGGUCAUUGCGGCGGCGCAGGGCCUACACCCUUUGUGAAGAUCUGCUCAUAUUGUCCUCUGUCACGGUCGCGAGGCACAGGGCAGGUAGGUACCUUGGCAGGUGGCAGAGUGCCCUGGCCUCAGAUCUCACCUCCAUCCCACCAGGCUCGGUGCCGCAGGAACCAGCAGGUGGUCCAGCCUGAGGAAGCAGGUCCUGACAGCUAAGUCCCCUUCACCGCCUCUCCCUUAGUGGCCUGCCUCCCUUCCUCCUGCUGCACUGCUGAUGGAAUGAUCCACGUGCCGUAAGAGGCACGCCACUGUCCCCUGCCACCUUGCUGGCUUCCCAGCCAGCGGGCUGAGUCCUUCCUCCGCUGGGUGUCCAGGGCCUCCCGGGUCCCCUCUGGCCUCACCCCUCCUUCCAGCCUCACUUGCUGCACUCCCUGCGGUCGCCCUGUUCCCCUGCCUGUCAGCCCUGCUGGGUAAGGCCCCAGGCCCUGGGACAUGACUGGUUUUCUGCCUGGAAUGCCCUCCUCUUCUGGUGCCCUGACAAAUCCCCACAUGUCCCAUAGCCUCUGGCCUUUGUCACCCCUCACGAAGCAUCCCUGACUCCCCCAGGCUGGAUUAUUUGUCCCCUCCUUUGCUUUUUAUCUCUGCUCUCCCUGGUGCAGGGGGUGGCCCCACCAACCUGCCAGCUCUAAAUGUACGAGUCGUCUCCCAGUGCAGCGAUGUCCCUUGAAAUCAGCCGGUGGGGGGGAGGAAUGGGCGCACACGGCCUUCAGCCCCCUGCCCCCUGGAGCCUGUGAAAUCUUUACCAGCAAUACCCAGAUUCUAGGCUCCCCUGUUUCGCAAUGGGCCUGUGUCUGCUCCAGAUGGUGAGGGUGUCAAAGGCAGGGCUGUCCCUUACUGCUCUUUGUAAAGAUGGGCCCCCAUCAUGCCUGCUACCUUGUGAGGACAUGCCCCACAGAACGUGUCAUUGUUUUCUUUUUUUCUUUUUUUGUGUGUGUCUUUUUGCCUUUUCUUGAGCCACUCCCGUGGCAUAUGGAGGUUCCCAGGCUAGGGGUCUAAUCAGAGCUGUAGCCACUGACUUAUGCCACAGCCACGCGGGAUCCGAGCUGCAUCUGCGACCCACACCACAGCUCAUAGCAACGCCAGAUCCUUAACCCACUGAGCAAGGCCAGGGAUCGAACCUGCAACCUCAUGGGUCCUAGUUGGAUUCAUUAACCACUGCGCCACGACGGGAACGCCCAGAACGCAUCAUUUAACUGUGGUCCCAGAUGACCCCGAGGCCACCAUGAUCCUUUGAAAAUCUGACGUGCCCAUGUCAGCUUCCUGCCCAGAAGCCCUUGGUAGCUGCCUUUGCCAAGAGUGCAUAGAGUCCCUCCUGGUGGGAUUUUUCUCUGUUUUAUCAAGGUGGCUCCGGGCUCAGAGCAGGGUCCAGCAUGGAAAGAUGCUUAGAACCAGUCAGUGCUUCAUUGUCAAGGGAAUAAAUGAAUGAUAAAAUUCAAGCUCCUUAAAACAGCCUUCAAAGCCCUCAUUCAUCGAUUCCGCUCUUUCUCUGUGUCUGGGGCUGCCCCUUCCCUGCUAGGAGCCUCCACUUGCAACUCCUGGGGGUUAGGAGCUCCCUCCUCCUCCCCUCCGUGUACCCCCAUCCAUCAUCGGAGAGGCUCUCAGCUUCUUGGGGCCGUGCUGAUGUGUGCAGAUCUUCCUGUCCCCUCCUGAUGUCGGGUCCCAUACAUCGUAGGACCCCAGGGCGGGUUUGUGGUCCAUAUUUACCCACAUACAAAACACUGGAGACCAGCAAGAUGCACACAAGCCCCAGCCGUUGCUCUGGCCACUCCCUGGGCUUUAUCUGACUGGCAGUCAUUCACCAAGUGUCACUGGGGGUUGGGGAGGGAUGGUUGGUGUCCAGAACAUGAUGGGAGGAGGCACCUGCCUCCAGGGCUUCAUUCAGGUCCCACCAGGGUGGGGGUGGGGCGGGCAUCACCACUUGAUCUUCUGUUCUCUUCCUCCUAGUUCAUGGCCACCUCGCUCCUGGCCAGCUACAGCUGCUUCUGCCAGCCGGUGAACUACAGCUGGAAUGGCGAGCGUGUGCUGAUGGUGCUUCUCAAAGGCCAUUGAAUUACUGGUCGCAGGGAGUAAUUCACAGUGGGUGGUCAUCUUCCUAUCACGAAAGGAGUCAGAGCAGAUGAGCUUCCUGCACGUCUACCACCACAGCACCAUGCUCUUCAGAUAGUGGGCUGGGGUCAAAUAUGUGCCAGGGGUCAAGGGCCAAUGUGUGACCAUUGCUGCCUACUCCUCCUGCAGUCUCUUUGCCAAAGAGUGUCCAUUCCCUGGCAGGCUCAAUGUGACCAUUCUCCUGUACACCCUCAGUCUCAUCAGCCUUUCCCUUAACUUCUACCACCAGACAUACCUGAGAGGCAAGUGGGAGAAGCUGACCUACAAGGUGGGGCCAAGGACUGAAACUAGCAGAGCCCUCCCCAUGGAGAGUUUGGCGAAAGAUGAUACGGCCCACAGCCCACCCGUGCUGAGCAGAUUCCUCUGGGCAAGUAUUUCAUCCUAUGAGGAAAGGACAAUAACAAUUCUCGCCGCCUUCCCAGAGUUCAGGAGGACAGAACUGGACCCAGCUUCCUGAACGCACAUCUCAUGUGGAUUUGUCACUAUUUGCACACCUCCUUCCUCUACUAAACGUGAGUCCUUCUGAGGAGGGACUGCACUCUCAGUGGUCCCCACCCCUGGCACAGUAUCUCAAUAAAUGUGCAUUUAGACCCCUA
rnacentral:lncRNA from 1 species